GGAAAUCUCACCAGGCCCGGACACUGGAAGGAUUGACAGAUUGAUAGCUCUUUCUUGAUUCGGUGGGUGGUGGUGCAUGGCCGUUCUUAGUUGGUGGAGUGAUAUGUCUGGUUAAUUCCGAUAACGAACGAGACCCCAACCUGCUAACUAGCCCUCGGGUCCUGCUUCUGUUGGGCCCGACGGAAUGAUUCGCUUCUUAGAGGGACUCGCGGCGCCUAGCCGCACGAAGGGGGGCGAUAA
rnacentral:rRNA from 1 species